rnacentral:rRNA from 1 species
ACAUGCUUACAGAAUAGAAUUAAUGCACCAGAUCCCAUUAGAACUCUACAGUUAAGCAUACUCAGGAUAGAGUAGUACUGGGAUGGGUGACCGCCCGGGAAUUCCUAAUGUUUUACAUGCC